UCUUGAUCUGGGAUGGGUUUCUUAAUUAGAAAUGUUUCAAGAUUUUGUCAUUCUAUUUUUAAGUUUUUUUGAGCCAUAAUUUCUUUCAAACCCCUCUCCCACCAAAUUUGAAAUUUCUCUCUCCAUUUCUAUCUGAUUCUUGUGGUCCUUGUUCUCCAAUGGCAUCCCAAAAGUGAUUCGUCCAAAGGAAGAUGAAAUCCUGUGCAAAAAUUCAAGAAUCUAAGGCUUCUCUAAGUGGCUCUCCC
rnacentral:lncRNA from 1 species